GCUGGGCGUGGUGGCACAUGCCUGUAAUCCCAGCUACUCAGGAGGCUGAGGCAGGAGAAUCACUUGAACCCAGGAGGCAGAGGUUGCAGUGAGCCAAGAUCGUUCCACUGCACUCCAGCCUGGGUGACAGAGCGAGACUCUGUCUCAAAAAAAAAAAAAAAAAAAGACAUACUCUCGUUCUGUCGCCAGGCUGCAGUGCAGUGGCGCGAUCUUGGCUCACUGCAACCUCCACCUCCUGGGUUCAAGCAAUUCUGCUGCCUCAG
rnacentral:SRP_RNA from 1 species